GGCAAGUCAUCCUUGGCUCA
rnacentral:snRNA from 1 species